CGACGAUGAACCCGCUUCGGUGGGGGAUUAGUGGCGAACGGGUGAGUAACACGUGGGCAAUCUGCCCUGCACUCUGGGACAAGCCCUGGAAACGGGGUCUAAUACCGGAUACGACCACUUCAGGCAUCUGAUGGUGGUGGAAAGCUCCGGCGGUGCAGGAUGAGCCCGCGGCCUAUCAGCUAGUUGGUGAGGUAACGGCUCACCAAGGCGACGACGGGUAGCCGGCCUGAGAGGGCGACCGGCCACACUGGGACUGAGACACGGCCCAGACUCCUACGGGAGGCAGCAGUGGGGAAUAUUGCACAAUGGGCGAAAGCCUGAUACAGCGACGCCGCGUGAGGGAUGACGGCCUUCGGGUUGUAAACCUCUUUCAGCAGGGAAGAAGCGAAAGUGACGGUACCUGCAGAAGAAGCGCCGGCUAACUACGUGCCAGCAGCCGCGGUAAUACGUAGGGCGCAAGCGUUGUCCGGAAUUAUUGGGCGUAAAGAGCUCGUAGGCGGCCUGUCACGUCGGAUGUGAAAGCCCGGGGCUUAACCCCGGGUCUGCAUUCGAUACGGGCAGGCUAGAGUUCGGUAGGGGAGAUCGGAAUUCCUGGUGUAGCGGUGAAAUGCGCAGAUAUCAGGAGGAACACCGGUGGCGAAGGCGGAUCUCUGGGCCGAUACUGACGCUGAGGAGCGAAAGCGUGGGGAGCGAACAGGAUUAGAUACCCUGGUAGUCCACGCCGUAAACGUUGGGAACUAGGUGUGGGCGACAUUCCACGUCGUCCGUGCCGCAGCUAACGCAUUAAGUUCCCCGCCUGGGGAGUACGGCCGCAGGC
rnacentral:rRNA from 1 species